rnacentral:miRNA from 1 species
AAUUUUGAUGACCGGAAGGAAUCCCUUCCGGUCAUUGAGACGAUUCGAAUUUCUAUGACAGGAAGGAAUCCCUUCCGGUCAUCGAGACCAUUGAUGACCGGAAGGAAUCCCUUCCGAUCAUUGAGACCAUUGAUGACCGGAAGGAAUCCCUUCCGGCCAUCAAGAUU